rnacentral:rRNA from 1 species
AUUGAACGCUGGCGGCAGGCCUAACACAUGCAAGUCGAACGGUAGCACAGAGAGCUUGCUCUCGGGUGACGAGUGGCGGACGGGUGAGUAAUGUCUGGGAAACUGCCUGAUGGAGGGGGAUAACUACUGGAAACGGUAGCUAAUACCGCAUAACGUCGCAAGACCAAAGAGGGGGACCUUCGGGCCUCUUGCCAUCAGAUGUGCCCAGAUGGGAUUAGCUAGUAGGUGGGGUAAUGGCUCACCUAGGCGACGAUCCCUAGCUGGUCUGAGAGGAUGACCAGCCACACUGGAACUGAGACACGGUCCAGACUCCUACGGGAGGCAGCAGUGGGGAAUAUUGCACAAUGGGCGCAAGCCUGAUGCAGCCAUGCCGCGUGUAUGAAGAAGGCCUUCGGGUUGUAAAGUACUUUCAGCGGGGAGGAAGGUGUUGUGGUUAAUAACCGCAGCAAUUGACGUUACCCGCAGAAGAAGCACCGGCUAACUCC